CAAGGGUAGACCCGCUCCUCCCGGAGUCUGGUUUCCAUGGUGACCAGCGCAGCAUCAUCUGUUGUUUUGCAGCCUGCAGUGUGGGGCACCCCAUGGUUCCGGCAUGAGCAAACAAAGGCUGAACACCGAGCUCUCCUGGCAAACACCCUUUAUCACAGAGUCCACAGACGGGAGGAAGAAAAUUAG
rnacentral:lncRNA from 1 species